GACGAACGCUGGCGGCGUGCCUAAUACAUGCCAGUUGAGCGCUGAAGGUUGGUACUUGUACCAACUGGAUGAGCAGCGAACGGGUGAGUAACGCGUGGGGAAUCUGCCUUUGAGCGGGGGACAACAUUUGGAAACGAAUGCUAAUACCGCAUAAAAACUUUAAACACAAGUUUUAAGUUUGAAAGAUGCAAUUGCAUCACUCAAAGAUGAUCCCGCGUUGUAUUAGCUAGUUGGUGAGGUAAAGGCUCACCAAGGCGAUGAUACAUAGCCGACCUGAGAGGGUGAUCGGCCACAUUGGGACUGAGACACGGCCCAAACUCCUACGGGAGGCAGCAGUAGGGAAUCUUCGGCAAUGGACGAAAGUCUGACCGAGCAACGCCGCGUGAGUGAAGAAGGGUUUCGGAUCGUAAAACUCUGUUGGUAGGGAAGAACGUUGGUGAGAGUGGAAAGCUCAUCAAGUGACGGUAACUACCCAGAAAGGGACGGCUAAAUACGUG
rnacentral:rRNA from 1 species